GCAUGGUUUUGGAUUUAUGGUGGAUCUAACUCCAUAGAUCCUUCAUAGUGUAUUCCAUGCAAAAGCAAUAUGCUGCCCCGAACCAUUGGCUAGUUUGGCUUGCUGUAGCCCUGGCUACUGAAGCGGGCAGUACAUCU
ensembl:snoRNA